rnacentral:rRNA from 1 species
UACAGAGGUCUCAACCGUUGUUCGGAUUCAUUGGGCGUAAAGGGUGCGUAGGCGGUCGCGUAAGUCAGGUGUGAAAGCCCCGGGCUCAACCUGGGAAUUGCAUUUGAGACUGCGUAGCUAGGGUGCGGAAGAGGGAAGCGGAAUUUCCGGUGUAGCGGUGAAAUGCGUAGAUAUCGGAAGGAACACCAGUGGCGAAAGCGGCUUCCUGGUCCAGCACCGACGUCAGGCACGAAAGCGUGGGGAGCAAACAGG